GUGGUUUAUGACCAAGGAUUGCGAAAUUUCUGAGAAUAUAUCGCGCAGUCAUUAUUUGGAUGCAUCAUUCGGUAGCUAAGUAGACAUGUCGUUGGGAAGCACAACUGUGCUACACUGACUGUGUCUGUAAAGAUUCUAUGCGCAAAAUGUCAAUAGAGUUACGUCCCUGCUAAACUGAAGUCUGUAGGUUUCAGCUCUGGAGUUCCCAGUGAAGACAUAUUUUUUUUUUUGGGCAAACACACAUUUAAGAUUUACAGUUACUAAAUAAAACAAAAGUUGAAAUCUGUAGUACAUCUUAACACAAACUCGUGUGCUUACUUAAU
rnacentral:lncRNA from 1 species